CGGUAAAAUGGCUGAGUAUCAGGCAAUAAAUUGUAAAUUUAUUAAGGAAAUAUAAAAAUUUCUUUUACC
rnacentral:tRNA from 1 species